UUAGCAACAGUAAUGAAUCAU
rnacentral:siRNA from 1 species